AAAAAAUUAAAACCUGAAUUUUCGUGCCAACGUUUAACUAUCCAGAAUUUUUUUUAUAAUUAGUAUUUUUAUCAUUGUUAAAUGAUAAAACAUGAUUAAAUACUUUAUGCGUGACUUAUCUUUUUAAUUUUUUUCAUAAUUUUUUCAAAUAAAACGGACGGUAAAACAUUGGACAUGGAAACUAAUGUUUGUCUUUUUU
rnacentral:pre_miRNA from 1 species